rnacentral:rRNA from 1 species
CGAACGGGUGAGUAACACAUCGGAACGUAUCCUGGAGUGGGGGAUAGCCCGGCGAAAGCCGGAUUAAUACCGCAUGGGCUCUGAGGAGGAAAGCGGGGGAACCGUAAGGACCUCGCGCUGUUGGAGCGGCCGAUGCCGGAUUAGCUUGUCGGUGAGGUAAAAGCUCACCAAGGCCGCGAUCCGUAGCUGGUCUGAGAGGAUGAUCAGCCACACUGGAACUGAGACACGGUCCAG